rnacentral:rRNA from 1 species
UACGUAGGGGGGCGAGCGUUGUCCGGAUUUAUUGGGCGUAAAGAGCUCGUAGGCGGUCUGUCGCGUCAGGAGUGAAAACUCGGGGCUUAACCCCGAGCCUGCUUCUGAUACGGGCAGACUAGAGGUAUGCAGGGGAGAACGGAAUUCCUGGUGUAGCGGUGAAAUGCGCAGAUAUCAGGAGGAACACCGGUGGCGAAGGCGGGUCUCUGGGCAGUUACCUGACGCUGAGGAGCGAAAGCGUGGGGAGCGAACAGG